UCGCGCGAGGGACAAGGUGCGCGAGGCGCACGCAUCUUCACCUCCACUGUCGGGAGUUGACCUGCUCCUCCCGCGUGGUUACCCGUCGCUGUAAAUGGUACCCUCGCCUUCCCGUUCAUACUAACUAAAAACUCCUCCCUCACUCCCCAUGUUCAUCUUUUACUGAGUCCUGUGCAUUCUACCGCCUACACAUCCGGCGGUCGUGCCCGGAUCUCUAUCCCCACUUACCACCACUGCCCCCCACCCACCCGUAGAUCACAACAUCCAGUUUCUCCUCAUCUCCAUGAUCUCGCUGUCUUCCAGCUUCCACUCAUGCCCCUCGCAUUCAUUAUCCGUCUGCAGCCACAGGACAGAUAAUUAUCCAAACAAAAAAAAUGCAGGAAAUAUUCUGGAUCCCCGAGCAGUCUUCUCAACUGGUACGAGGAAAAGUCAAGAAAAGCCCCUUUGAGAAGGUCUCCCUGGAAGACAGGCCCAUGAAGAGCUGAAGAAAGAAGUGGGAGGACAGAGGAGAACUCACACAAGGGGAUCAAGCUGGUGAAAACUGGAGAACCAGGCAGGGCCUGUGGAAGACUUCAUCUUGGCAGAGGGAAAAGGCUUCCAAGAAUCUUCCAGUUAUGCAAAGGCAAGGCCCAGCGGUACAUCUGGACAGAGUAGGGAUUGAGACAAGGAUGAAGGGGCUUUUCCGAAUAAAGUUGUGUUUUCCUUUGAUGAAAA
rnacentral:lncRNA from 1 species